GUACACAAAAAUGCACAUGCUGUGAGCUCGAUGAGUAGGGCGGGACACGUGGUAUCCUGUCUGAAUAUGGGGGGACCAUCCUCCAAGGCUAAAUACUCCUGACUGACCGAUAGUGAACCAGUACCGUGAGGGAAAGGCGAAAAGAACCCCGGCGAGGGGAGUGAAAAAGAACCUGAAACCGUGUACGUACAAGCAGUGGGAGCACGCUUAGGCGUGUGACUGCGUACCUUUUGUAUAAUGGGUCAGCGACUUAUAUUCUGUAGCAAGGUUAACCGAAUAGGGGAGCCGAAGGGAAACCGAGUCUUAACUGGGCGUUAAGUUGCAGGGUAUAGACCCGAAACCCGGUGAUCUAGCCAUGGGCAGGUUGAAGGUUGGGUAACACUAACUGGAGGACCGAACCGACUAAUGUUGAAAAAUUAGCGGAUGACUUGUGGCUGGGGGUGAAAGGCCAAUCAAACCGGGAGAUAGCUGGUUCUCCCCGAAAGCUAUUUAGGUAGCGCCUCGUGAAUUCAUCUCCGGGGGUAGAGCACUGUUUCGGCAAGGGGGUCAUCCCGACUUACCAACCCGAUGCAAAC
rnacentral:rRNA from 1 species